rnacentral:tRNA from 1 species
UAAUUUAACUAAAAUACCAGUCUUGUAAGCUGACAACGAAGGCAAUUUCCUUCCUAGGACA